rnacentral:lncRNA from 1 species
GAUGCGAUCAUACCAGCACUAAUGCACCGGAUCCCAUCAGAACUCCGCAGUCAAGCGUGCUUGGGCGAGAGUAGUACUAGGAUGGGUGACCUCCCGGGAAGUCCUCGUGUUGCAUCCCUCUUUUAUGUUUAACCUUUUUUUUUUUGGUUAAAACUUGAUGACUCCAUAACUUUUAGACCGUGAGGCCAAACUUGGCAUGUGAUACCUUUUCGGAAAGCCCAAAGACAGCCCUCCGACGAAAGAAGCAGGACAAUGGAACUUUUCCAUUGACUUUUUGUCGACCCCAAAUUUUGACCUUUAAGUACUUUUUCGGGCAUUUUCGUGAUUUGGGCUAUAUUACGGACCCAAAAUUACUUGUUCAAGCAUUGUUUUCGAAUUUUUUCAUGCAUCAAAGCUCGUUAAGACUAGAUGGGGGAUCCCUACAUAGCGGGUGGGACCCACGGCGAAUGGUUCAUCAAGUCUUCAAAAAAGAAUAUAUACGAUUGCAUUGCAUAUACUAACGGAUGCGAUCAUACCAGCACUAAUGCACCGGAUCCCAUCAGAACUCCGCUUUUAAGCGUGCUUGGGCGAGAGUAGUACUAGGAUGGGUGACCUCCCGGGAAGUCCUCGUGUUGCAUCCCUCUUUUAUGUUUAACCUUUUUUUUUUUGGUUAAAAUUUUAUGACUCCAUAACUUUUAGACCGUGAGGCCAAACUUGGCAUGUGAUACCUUUUCGGAAAGCCCAAAGACAGCCCUCCGACGAAAGAAGCAGGACAAUGGAACUUCUCCAUUGACGUUUUGUCGACCCCAAAUUUUGACCUUUAAGUACUUUUUCGGGCAUUUUCGUGAUUUGGGCUAUAUUACGGACCCAAAAUUACUUGUUCAAGCAUUGUUUUCGAAUUUUUUCAUGCAUCAAAGCUCGUUAAGACUAGAUGGGGUAUCCCUACAUAGCGGGUGGGACCCACGGCGAAUGGUUCAUCAAGUCUUCAAAAAAGAAUAUAUACGAUUGCAUUGCAUAUACUAACGGAUGCGAUCAUACCAGCACUAAUGCACCGGAUCCCAUCAGAACUCCGCAGUUAAGCGUGCUUGGGCGAGAGUAGUACUAGGAUGGGUGACCUCCCGGGAAGUCCUCGUGUUGCAUCCCUCUUUUAUGUUUAACCUUUUUUUUUUUGGUUAAAACUUUAUGACUCCAUAACUUUUAGACCGUGAGGCCAAACUUGGCAUGUGAUACCUUUUCGGAAAGCCCAAAGACAGCCCUCCGACGAAAGAAGCAGGACAAUGGAAGAUCUCCAUUGACGUUUUGUCGACCCCAAAUUUUGACCUUUAAGUACUUUUUCGGGCAUUUUCGUGAUUUGGGCUAUAUUACGGACCCAAAAUUACUUGUUCAAGCAUUGUUUUCGAAUUUUUUCAUGCAUCAAAGCUCGUUAAGACUAGAUGGGGGAUCCCUACAUAGCGGGUGGGACCCACGGCGAAUGGUUCAUCAAGUCUUCAAAAAAGAAUAUAUACGAUUGCAUUGCAUAUACUAACGGAUGCGAUCAUACCAGCACUAAUGCACCGGAUCCCAUCAGAACUCCGCAGUUAAGCGUGCUUGGGCGAGAGUAGUACUAGGAUGGGUGACCUCCCGGGAAGUCCUCGUGUUGCAUCCCUCUUUUAUGUUUAACCUUUUUUUUUUUGGUUAAAACUUUAUGACUCCAUAACUUUUAGACCGUGAGGCCAAACUUGGCAUGUGAUACCUUUUCGGAAAGCCCAAAGACAGCCCUCCGACGAAAGAAGCAGGACAAUGGAACUUCUCCAUUGACGUUUUGUCGACCCCAAAUUUUGACCUUUAAGUACUUUUUCGGGCAUUUUCGUGAUUUGGGCUAUAUUACGGACCCAAAAUUACUUGUUCAAGCAUUGUUUUCGAAUUUUUUCAUGCAUCAAAGCUCGUUAAGACUAGAUGGGGGAUCCCUACAUAGCGGGGUGGGACCCACGGCGAAUGGUUCAUCAUGUCUUCAAAAAAGAAUAUAUACGAUUGCAUUGCAUAUACUAACGGGAGCGAUUAUACCAGCACUAAUGCACCGGAUCCCAUCAGAACUCCGCAGUCAAGCGUGCUUGGGCGAGAGUAGUACUAGGAUGGGUGACCUCCCGGGAAGUCCUCGUGUUGCAUCCCUCUUUUAUGUUUAACCUUUUUUUUUUUGGUUAAAACUUUAUGACUCCAUAACUUUUAUACCGUGAGGCCAAACUUGGCAUGUGAUACCUUUUCGGAAAGCCCAAAGACAGCCCUCCGACGAAAGAAGCAGGACAAUGGAACUUUUCCAUUGACUUUUUGUCGACCCCAAAUUUUGACCUUUAAGUAUUUUUUCGGGCAUUUUCGUGAUUUGGGCUAUAUUACGGACCCAAAAUUACUUGUUCAAGCAUUGUUUUCGAAUUUUUUCAUGCAUCAAAGCUCGUUAAGACUAGAUGGUGUAUCCCUACAUAGCGGGUGGGACCCACGGCGAAUGGUUCAUCAAGUCUUCAAAAAAGAAUAUAUACGAUUGCAUUGCAUAUACUAACGGAUGCGAUCAUGCCAGCACUAAUGCACCGGAUCCCAUCAGAACUCCGCAGUCAAGCGUGCUUGGGCGAGAGUAGUACUAGGAUGGGUGACCUCCCGGGAAGUCCUCGUGUUGCAUCCCUCUUUUAUGUUUAACCUUUUUUUUUUUGGUUAAAACUUUAUGACUCCAUAACUUUUAUACCGUGAGGCCAAACUUGGCAUGUGAUACCUUUUCGGAAAGCCCAAAGACAGCCCUCCGACGAAAGAAGCAGGACAAUGGAACUUUUCCAUUGACUUUUUGUCGACCCCAAAUUUUGACCUUUAAGUAUUUUUUCGGGCAUUUUCGUGAUUUGGGCUAUAUUACGGACCCAAAAUUACUUGUUCAAGCAUUGUUUUCGAAUUUUUUCAUGCAUCAAAGCUCGUUAAGACUAGAUGGUGUAUCCCUACAUAGCGGGUGGGACCCACGGCGAAUGGUUCAUCAAGUCUUCAAAAAAGAAUAUAUACGAUUGCAUUGCAUAUACUAACGGAUGCGAUCAUGCCAGCACUAAUGCACCGGAUCCCAUCAGAACUCCGCAGUCAAGCGUGCUUGGGCGAGAGUAGUACUAGGAUGGGUGACCUCCCGGGAAGUCCUCGUGUUGCAUCCCUCUUUUAUGUUUAACCUUUUUUUUUUUUGGGGUAAAACUUUAUGACUCCAUAACUUUUAUACCGUGAGGCCAAACUUGGCAUGUGAUACCUUUUCGGAAAGGGCAAAGACAGCCCUCCGACGAAAGAAGCAGGACAAUGGAACUUUUCCAUUGACUUUUUGACGACCCCAAAUUUUGACCUUUAAGUACUUUUUCGGGCAUUUUCGUGAUUUGGGCUAUAUUACGGACCCCAAAUUACUUGUUCAAGCAUUGUUUUCGAAUUUUUUCAUGCAUCAAAGCUCGUUAAGACUAGAUGGGGUAUCCCUACAUAGCGGGUGGGACCCACGGCGAAUGGUUCAUCAAGUCUUCAAAAAAGAAUAUAUACGAUUGCAUUGCAUAUACUAACGGAUGCGAUCAUACCAGCACUAAUGCAUCGGAUCCCAUCAGAACUCCGUAGUUAAGCGUGCUUGGGCGAGAGUAGUACUAGGAUGGGUGACCUCCCGGGAAGUCCUCGUGUUGCAUCCCUCUUUUAUGUUUAACCUUUUUUUUUUUGGUUAAAACUUUAUGACUCCAUAACUUUUAUACCGUGAGGCCAAACUUGGCAUGUGAUACCUUUUCGGAAAGGCCAAAGACAGCCCUCCGACGAAAGAAGCAGGACAAUGGAACUUUUCCAUUGACUUUUUGUCGACCCCAAAUUUUGACCUUUAAGUAUUUUUUCGGGCAUUUUCGUGAUUUGGGCUAUAUUACGGACCCAAAAUUACUUGUUCAAGCAUUGUUUUCGAAUUUUUUCAUGCAUCAAAGCUCGUUAAGACUAGAUGGUGUAUCCCUACAUAGCGGGUGGGACCCACGGCGAAUGGUUCAUCAAGUCUUCAAAAAAGAAUAUAUACGAUUGCAUUGCAUAUACUAACUGAUGCGAUCAUACUAGCACUAAUGCACCGGAUCCCAUCAGAACUCCGCAGUUAAGCGUGCUUGGGCGAGAGUAGUAUUAGGAUGGGUGACCUCCCGGGAAGUCCUCGUGUUGCAUCCCUCUUUUAUGUAGGUUUCAUAAUCCAAUGGAUGACGUGCUAUUACUAUGGUUCUUGUAGUUGAUCGAGAGAGUUGAAAAUCUCCUAUAUCUCUCUCUUUUGCCUCACCUUAGAACUAAAUUUGUCUCAAACUAGGCUGCAUACUUCUUCUUUUUCUUCUUUCAUUUUUUUUUUGCAAACCAGGUUGCAUGCUAUUUGUACUUUCUUCGUCAAUGUUUAGACAAACUCUCAUUAACACAAUGGAGUUUACGUCUUAGAGACUUUCCUAUACUUGUGAUGUUCGUUAAUUUUUAUGUUCAGGUGAUUUCGUUUAGUGCACUUAAACACAUUAUCCAAAUGGACCACCUAGAUGUAUUUGUCAAACUCAUCCGAAAAACAUCCAAAAAUGUGUUAGUUUAAAUGGUACAGUCAGAUGGAGAUAAUUCUGCAAAAAUUUGCAAAUGUCCAAAUUAUUCUCAAUUACAAUAUAUAUAAAAUAUUGUUAAUUUCUCAUUUUAUAUUUAAAAAUUACAUAUUUCCACUAACUUUUUUUUAAUAUCGUAAAUAACAAAUUAUCAUUUUCUGUCAAAAUUGCAAACUUACGUUUUUUAUGAAAAUUAAAAUUACUUUUUUCUCAUCAUUGUUUUUGCCUAAUUAUGAUUUUGCGGAAAAUUUGCAAAAUAACAUUUCAAAAAAAAAACAACGAUUUUGGCGGAAAAAUUACCAAAUUGAUUUCUGUCAAGACCAGAAAAAUCUGAGAAUUGAGUUUUUUGUCAAAACCCCUAAAAUCGUAAUUUUUGCCAAAACCGUAAGAUAGUAAUUUCCUGCCAAAACUAUACAAUCACGAUUUUUGCGGAAAAAUUACGGAAUUGUGUUUCCCGCCAAAAUUAAAACAAUCAAAGAAUUACAUUCUUUUUACCAAAACCGUAACAUCAUGUUUUCUUACCAAAACUGCAAUAUCAUAUUUUCCGCCAUAACCGGAAAAUCAUACUUUCCAUUAAAUCAUGUUUUCUGUAAAAACCACAAAAUCACAUUUUUUGGCAAAACCCAAAAAAUGAAUUUAUAUAUUUAAAAUAAUAAAAUGAAAAUUAUUUAGUUGUAAAUAUAUUUAGAGCAAGAAUUAAAUUAAUAUAGCUAAGACUAAGAUUACAAAUAUAAAUAGAUUAAAGUAUGGAUAUUUUAGUAAUUUUCUUGUUAAAGUCAUCUAGAUGGAGAUGAAGAUUUAUAUAAAUUAAGCAAACAAACAAAAAUUUAUUGAGAUGAUCCAUCCAAAUGAAUAUCCAAAAAUUAAAACGAACAACAUUCAGAUGAAGCAUUUAGAUGGAACAUUUAGAUAGAUCAUUUGGAUGGAAAUGCCAGAUGAUGAAACAAACAAGGCUUCCGUCUCUUAAAAUAUCGUAAGACAUAUAACAUGGUGACACAUUCAGCAUCUUGUAUGAUAUCCCUCAAGCAAAGGAGUCAUCUAAAUUUAGCAACUAAAAGAACAAUAUAACAAGAUGAGAAACUUAAGAAGCAAAACAUUACGAUCUGAAUUUAUAUGAUCUAAUGCGUGCUUUGAUUAAGAGACUCGAUAAAGGUUACUUAAGACAUUUAACUGCAUAGAGAGUAAGAAACCCGUACGUGUGUCAUCCAUCAUUCAGUCUUUUUAGUCGAAGCUCUCGCCUUGGCGCAGUAGUCGAACAAGCUCCCGUCAAAGCAUCUCCUGACCGCUUCUUUCGAUAAGUGACCAUUCUCGUCUUUGGCAAGGAAGUAGAGUACUCCCCACUCCAUUUUACUCGCUGCCCUGUUUUUAUUUUCACACCAUUAAGAGAGAGACAAAAAAAGGCCAUACGAAAGAGAGACAAAGAGGGGAUUGACCAGCCAAAGAAAUCGAAUGCGUUGCGGUUAGCUUCCGUCAUUUGCCACAGCUCGUAACAGAGUUAGCUUGUCAGGCACUGUACGGGCAUACUUACUAAACAUGUUCUCAAGAUUUGCAGGAAUGUACCUGAAAAUUUUGAUAUUUAUAACCACAUAUUCAAUAAAUAUCAUCAUAGAGAAAUGUUAACGUAACUGAGAGACAAACCUUCCUUCUGUGUCGUAAGUUGAAGUGUCGCUUCCAUGUUUGGCUCUAUGGAUGUUCUUGAUGUAAAUCGGGAAGGUAGGAGAAGGCAUCCAAGUCUAGUUUUAAAAAAAGAAGACAUCUUGAGGAGAACCAAAAGAUAUAAAGGACACUAACGUAACACAACAUCAUAAUUGAGAUGUUCAUGAGAAAUGAACUUACAGGCAAUGUAGCAUAACUCAUUGUAAGAUGCACAAUGAUUGUUAGAAAGAUACUAGAAACCAAGUUGAAACCAAGUGCUCUAAAUCCUGAGCAAUCCAAAAGAGACUAUAUAAGGAAGUCAUCAUUUUUUAUUUUUCAUUAAUUAAUUGUUAUAAAGAUGAUUUUCAUAGAUACCUCUAAAUGUCUCUGAUGGGUAGAUGAUACCAUCACCAUCCUGGUCAAAGAAAGCAAUGUGUUGCUGAAGAACCGACAUGUCCCGGUGCUUGUGUCCUCUUGUCCCGUUAACGUUUUCCAUGUCUGGUGCAACCAUUGCUCGAGGCACAUCUAUUUUGAUCAAACACCAAACAACCUAGUCAAAACUAAACGCAACGUUUAAUUAAAAAAAAAAUGCAAUUUACAAAUUACAAUUGUGUUCACAAUAAAGGCACCACUAACAAAAUGAUAAAACCAUUUCAAACCACUAAAGAGAAAUUAUGGAUAUUGUUUUCAACAAAACUUUGUAUUUGUGUAGUAGCCAAACAAAAACAUUUCAUAGCUUGUGAAUCAAGUUAAUAAUUUUGAGAAAAUCUUGAAAGAGAGAGAGAUUCGGACAAAAGUCAUAAAUAUGAUUCUAAAUUUGGAAACAUAUACAAAAACUGUUAGAAAAAGACCAAGAUGAAAAGAGAGAGAGAGUGUAUGAACAUGGUUUAGGGAGACGAUCAUCGAGAUCAGUACGGACUCUCCUCUCCGCUGUGACAGGGGCUUUCUCAGCCACCGUAGCAAUCGAAUCUGCUCUUGCGUGAUCUGUCGACAUUUUGUUUUUCCUUGUUGCGUAAUUGUGGAUAAUGGAGAGAGAUUUUUCUUUUAUAAAGAGAUGUGAGAGAGUGUUCUUAACUGAUUCCAAAGAAGUCGCGGGAGUUGCUUCGCCAUUGAACAAGAACUCUUUUGUUGACACGUGUUCCUAUGACUAAGGAUUUUUGCUUCUUUUUUUAACAUCGCUUUUUAAAUAAGAGUUAGGCUAUAAAUAGAUGCUGUUUUUAGUUCAGUUUUUGGAUUUGAUGUUUAGUUUUUGGAUUGUAGAUUUUUGUUUAAAUUUUGCUAUUAGAUUUUUGUUUUACGAAUACCAAAAAAUGCUUUUUGGUUUUUGAGAAAAAAUAACAUAGAUGGAUUCCUAAUAAGUUUUUUUCUUUGUAGAAAAUCUAAAGUCAGUUGGUCUUGAAUCCAAGUUCGAUGGGUGUUUAAACUUACGUGUUACCAGCAUGCCACAACAAUUUAUUCAUUUCCUAGUAAGUUGUUAUUUGAUUUAAUAUAUCUUACACACACUAGUUAAUUUAGUAAUUUUGAAACAAAUAACUAGUAUCUUCUAUUCCAUCUGCACAAGAGAGACUCAUUAAAUUUUGGACUAAGACUUGUUCAUAACUUUUUGAUACUAUGUAGAGGGAAACAAAGCUUACUCUAUCAUGUAUGAUAUGACUUCUUGAUGCUAGCUUCAUCUCCCCUAUCCAAUCUUUUCAUGGAUGAUUCUGAUAGUAGGCUUUUAAUCAAUUAUCCUAGAACAAUAUCCUGUCGUUGUAAUAUUUUAGGUGUCAAUCCAAAUGGGUGUGAUGCGAACAGAUGAGAUAUGAUCAGAAGUUGCUAAGUCAAACCACACAAAAUUUGGUUAUUUUUCGAACAGUCCUAGUGUUUGAUGCAGAUAACAGUAAAAAGUCACAAAAAUGACUGAUAUACUCGGCUGCAUAGUCGACUGCCAGAAGGGACCUUGUGAACGAGUACAAACGGCUACCAUAGAGUAAAAUUGCAGAAAAUGGACCUGUUUACUCUAUCACAUAGACUCACUACUAAUAGCAGAGUGUGAUCGAGUAGAAUUGUUGAAAACAUGAAAUAACUAAAAUUCAAUAGCAAGUGAAUGAAGCAGGUAAGUAAACAGAGAAAUCAAUUAGGUGAGAAAUUUCUAAGGAUGGGAUAACUUAAUAUUGUAGUUGUAAUACCCCUGACGAUGACUGGCAAUCAGACGGAAGGUCGCAAACGUAGAAGUACGAUCGUGACUUUGAAAUUUUUUCGUAAAGUGAUCACCCAAAGUGAUCAUAGAUUAAAGGAGGCUUAUCGAAGAAGUUCAAGAGCAACCGGGAUUGAGUUGAGAUUUAUCGGCUAUUUCUAAGAGUCAAGAAGUUAAGGAUCGGCUAUUACCGGCAUUAGACAGUUAGGCUAUAGAGGACAUUGGUAGUUCAAUCAUGAGGACAUGAUCGAACAAAAUCAAUAAUGACGGCAAUGUGGUUGACAUGCUAUCGACGAAGUUAUUGUUCAUUUGAUCGAAGGACCCGAUCAAACCAUCAAUGAUAAAAAUUAAGGUUUUAAAAAGGGAUUUUAUUUUAGGCAAUUUGGUCGAGGGAAAGAUCAAGGCUACCAAAGAAAAAAUAAAGGAAGUACUGAAGACCAGUUUUUAUUGGAGAAAACUAGAUUUUUGCCGAGAAAAAUAUUUUUGGACUGGAACAAGCUAUUGGUGAUCAAGCGGAGUGGUAAUCAAAAUUAUCAAGGUUUAUUGGAGUGGUUAAAUAGAGUAAGUGGCCGAGGACAUGCCACAUUACUUAAAUUUUUGGCUGUAUAGUCGUUUGCGGGAUUUUGCGGCCAUGUCGUGGAGGUGCUUGUGGUGGAAGGAGCUCCGUCGCAAGCUUGGCGUGUGUUGGCACACGUUUAGGAUAAGGAUAGGAUCAAGAGUGGACAAAGACGAGUUUAGAUAAGGGUAAGCUUGAAAUCAGAUAAGGAUAAGGUUUUAGAUAAUGUUUAUCCGCCACCUCGUGCUUCCGUUGCUUGCUCCCCACGUUUUCCCACCCCUAUAAAUCGCUCAGCUCGCCAUUUGCUCUCUAAACCACGAAAAAUCACAUUUAGACUAGUUAGGUUGUGAAGCUUCUCGGAGAAGCCGUGGUCGAGAGUUGAGUUAGUCAGAUAAUAGGUAAGUAGUUCCGCCCUUAGUCUUUAUUCUCAUUAGAAUAUUUUUCUAAGUUUUAUUUUUUGUCGGCGGCUUAGAUCCAUCAUUUGUAACGCACCCAGACCGUACUAGAACUCGGCCAGUCCGAUACGGCCCGGAGACGCCACAAUGGAAAUGAGUUCUCAUUAAGUAGCCGAGGUUCAAGAACACAUCCCUACCCUUAGCCCACUCAAGAUCUCCAAUUUUCACACCUAGGAUCCAUUUAGGCUUGCCAACCCUCACUUCACCCAAAUGUUGUGUCGACUCGGACUAAGUCUUAUCAGUUUGAAACCCGUACAAUAUAAAAUAAAUACCGAUUUAAAAACUAAAGAGUGAUAAAAAUACAAGGGGGGAUNCUNNUAGCAUCAAUCCUGGCUGGACAGAACAUNAGUACCUNNCCUAAAACAAAACUUUUUUUUCCUUNNNNNNNNNNNNNNNNNNNNNNNNNNNNNNNNNNNNNNNNNNNNNNNNNNNNNNNNNNNNNNNNNNNNNNNNNNNNNNNNNNNNNNNNNNNNNNNNNNNNNNNNNNNNNNNNNNNNNNNNNNNNNNNNNNNNNNNNNNNNNNNNNNNNNNNNNNNNNNNNNNNNNNNNNNNNNNNNNNNNNNNNNNNNNNNNNNNNNNNNNNNNNNNNNNNNNNNNNNNNNNNNNNNNNNNNNNNNNNNNNNNNNNNNNNNNNNNNNNNNNNNNNNNNNNNNNNNNNNNNNNNNNNNNNNNNNNNNNNNNNNNNNNNNNNNACCCUUGUUACUGAAGCCUUUCUGUAAGGGACCAUCUUUGUCUCUUGACCUUUUACCUUAGCCAAAUGAGUUCUUUGAUGAUGCAUUGCUUGAUUCACGUUCCAGAACUAAUGAAUGUUAAAGGGAUUGGUAGAUUUGAAAACUUGUGUAGGUCGAGCAUAUGAGUCGGAUUGAUUGAUUGAUGAGGCAUGGCUAACGUUUUUAAGUAGAAUUUGAUCUUGCAGCUUAGAACUUUCAACUUGGACAUUGAUUUCAUCUGGUUUAUCUAGUGCUUUGGCUCUGAGUCCCCGCUUUCAAACCUCACCUCCAGCUUGUUCUUGAUUGUUUGCUUGAGGGCAAGCAAAGACUAAGUUUGGGGGAGUUGAUAAGUGUGUAUUUUGCAUGUUUUGAGCAUCCAUUUGUCAUCACUUUAGCAUCAUAUCAUCACUGUUUUAUACCAUUUCACAUCAUUUGUCAUCACUUUGCAUGUUAAGGAUAGUUUUGCAUGCAUGUUGCAUAUUUGCGUUGAUUUUCUGUUUUCUGCAUGUUCAUUUAGGACUGCUAGAACACACCAAAACCUGUUAUGCUUGGCUUGACUUAGUGACUUCUGAUCACAUCUUGAUUGUUAGCAUCACACCCAUUUGGAUUGACAACCUAAAAUACUACAACGACAUGAUUGGUGUUAUAGGAUAAUUGACCAAAAAAAACCUACUAUCAGUUUGCAGGAAGAGAAAUUGGGAAGACCGUUCCAUCUUGGUGAGGUGUUCAUCCAGACACACACUAAGUCGGAUGGCACUUAUGUUGAUCGGAAGGCGGAGAAGAUUGCUCAAACUUAUGGGCAGAAUGUGAGAUCAAAGCUGUCUGAACUGGAGGCUGCAGCUUCUACUGUCUCUAAUGGCACUUCACGACCUUGGGAUCUCACAGUAGAUGAGUAUAAAGCCAUCUUUCUCGAGGUAAGAUGUUGUAGUCUAAUUCAGAGUCUUAGAGUCCAUUGAUGCAUUCAUUCACUAAUUGUCUUCCUCUCUAUUUCUUGCAGUCCACAGAUAGGGAUUCAAGAGGCAAUCCUUAUGGACUUGGAUAUCUUAAAGACACUCUAGGCAAUGCCAACCGCUAACUCCCCGGAGACUCAGCAUCCUUUCAAGAUUUAGAAGAACGGCUGCAAGAAGCUCAACGGAAAAUUGAAGAGCAGGCUGCGUAUAAUGAGAAGCAGGAUGCUGAGAUUGCAGCCCGAGAAGCUGAGUCAGCCCGAGUCACAGCUGAGCAAAAGGACAAGCUCAAACACUUGUCCUUAGUCGAGAAGUAUCUCCGCCAAAUCGAUCCGCAAUUCUUGGACUUCAUGGCCACUCACUCUUCCACAUCCACUGAGCGUCUCCCAAAUACUCCACCUACUGCUCCAUAGAUUUAAGAACCAAACACUAUACUUGAACUUAUGUUUAUUUGAAUAAAGUAGUUUGUUUAAGAAUAAGAUACUUGUAUGUGUAUUUGAACUUAAUUUUCAAUAUAUGUUUAUCUUUUCAUGAUUUAUAGCAUUUCGAGUAACAAACCACAACAAACCAUAACACUAAUCAACAAACAAGAAACCCAACAAUCGAUGACCAAAUUCUUAUUCGGAUAAAACCAAAAGUCGCAAAAUAGUCGUAAAAACGUCGCAAAUUAAACGUAUAGUAGUCGUAAAAUAGUCACCCAAAUUACCGACUAUUUUAAGACAAACCAAAAUAAUCAUAACCUAAUCAUCAAACAGACGUCCAUUAGUCGUAUAAAUUUAUACGACUAUUAUAUGACUAAGUAUAUCAUAUCAUUGGUAUUUUACAUUUACUCGUUUAAUAGUCGGCAAAUUGUCGUAAAAUAUGUUACGACUAUUUUGCGAUUACUUGAAAGACACCCAGGGUUCAUUGAAUUUAAUCGGAACAUAGUCAUAACAUUGUCGGAAGAAUUUAACGACUAUUGGACGACGAUAUGUUUCACACGCUCUGUACAGUGUUAUUAAUCGUGAAAUUGUCGCCAAAUAGUCGCCAUUAUAAUACGACUACUCAACGACUAAUGUAUAUUGUAUGGUCUGUUGUCAUAAAUAAGUCGUAAAUCAACGACUAAUUGACGACAGCUGGACUUAACGACUAUGGUAUAACGACUACUGUCAUUAGUCGCGGACUAGUCGUAGAUUCAGAAUUAACGACUACUAAGUGACUACUUUGUAAGUCGUUGAUUGCCUGUUUUCUUGUAGUGGUUCUAAUGUGAAUCUGAUGCCUCGUUCAGUUGCUAUGCGUCUUGGGUAUUCCAGUCUUGAGCCUACUUUUAUCACUCUUGUGUUGGCAGAUCGUUCUACUCGAAUUCCAUAUGCAAUUCUUAUUGAUGUUCCCGUGAUGAUUGGAAAGAGCAUGAUUCCUACAGACUUUGUAGUCUUGCCUUAUGAGAAGGAACCUAAGGAUCCAUUAAUCUUUGGGAGAUCCUUCGUUCACAUAGUUGGAGCAAUGAUAGAUGUUCGACAAGGGAGGAUAGGGCUGAAUGUUGGCGAUCUCACUAUGCAGUUCGAUAUGAACACUUUGGUCAAGAAGGGAAAACAUUCUCGAUAGAUUCUUUCACUUCAUCAGCUUCAGAUAGUAUUUCAGAGAAGAAAUUAGAAGACCCACUAGAGCGAGUUUUGGUCUCUUCCAUAGAGGAUAGUGCAGAUUUGGACAGUGAAACUUCUACAUAUACUAAGCUGCUAGAUGAGACCGAACAUGUAAUGCAACUUACAGUUGAAGAAGCUCUUCCAUCUGUGACUCCAACGCCGACUAAUAAUUGAGAUUGGGAUCCAGCAAAGGCUCCUAAAAUCGAAUUGAAACCACUUCCUGUAGGGCUAAACUACUUAUCAUGUUAUUAUGAAUGCUUCUCUUAAUCCCGCAGAGCUCACCUUAUUGCUAAGCAAGCUGCGAAAUCAUCGCAAAGCUCUUGGCUAUUCUCUUGAUGACAUUGCAGGUAUAUCUCCAGAUGUAUGCAUGCAUACGAUCCACCUUGAGGAUGAGUCUAAGUCUUCAGUUGAACAUCAGAGAAGGCUGAAUCCGAAUAUGAAAGAAGUGGUUAAGAAAGAGAUUAUGAAACUGUUGGAAGCAGGGAUUAUCUAUCUGAUUUCAGAUAGCAGUUGGGUUAGUCCAGUUCAUGUGGUUCCUAAGAAGGGAGGUGUUACAGUAGUCAAGAAUGAGAAAGAGGAGUUGAUUCCUACUCGGACAAUCACAGGACAUCGGAUGUGCAUCUAUUACAGAAAGCUGAAUGCUGCUACCAGGAAAGACCAUUUCCCCUUACCAUUUAUCGAUCAGAUGUUGGAGAGGUUAGCAAAUCAUAAGUACUAUUGCUUCCUUGAUGGAUACUCAGGAUUCUUUCAGAUCCCGAUUCAUCCAGAUGACAAGGAGAAAACGACUUUCACCUGCCCCUAUGGUACAUUUGCUUAUCGGAGAAUGCCCUUCGAUCUUUGUAAUGCUCCUACGACAUUUUAGAGAGGUAUGAUGUCUAUCUUCACAGAGAUGAUUGAGGAUAUCAUGGAGGUUUUCAUGGAUGAUUUUUCAGUUUGUGGAUCAUCGUUUGAGGAUUGUAGAGAAUCUCUGCAAAGUGUUAGCGAGAUGUGAGGAGAAACUUACCCGCAAACCUUUUGAUUAUGCCCAUGAGGAAGUUUGAAGUAAUUCUAGGAAUGGAUUGGUUAUCUGGAUACCAUGCCCGAAUAGACUGUGCUAAGAGUCGAGUAGUAUUCGAAUUAGGAAACCAAACCAUGUUAGUUUAUUCCGGAGUGAGUCCGAGUGCCGGAGCGGUUUCUGAAUCAGCCCUUCGUGUUGAGAAUAUGCUAGUCCAGGAGGAAGCAUAUUUAGUAACCCUUACCGCGAUUAGUGGAGAAGACGAUGAGGAGUUGAAAGUGGAAGACAUCUCAGCAGUAGGGGAGUUUGCAGAUGUGUUUAAGGCUUUAGAUGGCUUGCUGCCGCCCCGGAGCAACCCUUUCGCCAUCAACCUUGAGGUCAGAGCUAUUCCAAUUGCCAAGUCUCCUUACCGAAUCGCGCCUGUCGAGUUAGAAGAAUUAAAACAACAACUAGGAGGUCUUCUUGAGAAAGGAUUCAUACGCCUGAGUUCAUCACCAUGGGGAGCCUCGGUGUUAUUUGUAAAGAAAAAGGAUGGAAGUAUGCGGUUGUGUAUCGAUUACCGUGGCAUCGACAACAUUACCAUCAAAGAUAAGUACCCGCUUCCAAGAAUCGACGAACUCUUAGAUCAACUGAGAGGAGCUAGUUGGUUUUCGAAGAUUGACCUUGCAUCCUGAUAUCAUCAAAUUCUCAUUGCUGAAGCUGACAUAACAAAGACGGCCUUCCGGACUCGCUACAAACAAUACGAGUUUGUUGUCAUGCCCUUUGGUCUAACAAACGCUCCUGCCGCAUUUAUGAGAUUGAUGAAUGAAGUGUUUCACGAUUAUUUGGAUAAGUUUGUCAUCAUAUUCAUUGACGACAUCCUCGUUUACUCACGAAGCCAAGAAGAACAUUAUUACCAUCUACAGAAAGUCUUGGAACGACUUAGAGAGCAGCCGCUUUAUGCUAAGUUCAGUAAAUGCAAGGUUUGGCAAAGAGAUAUUGGAUUCCUAGGACAUCGCGUCUCGGAGCAAGGAGUAACCGUAGAUCCCAAGAAGAUCGCCGCCAUUCAAGAUUGGCCGCAACCAACCAAUGUUACUGAGGUCAAAAGCUUCUUGGGUUUGCCAAAAUACUAUCGAAAGUUUGUCAAAGGAUUCUCUUCCAUCAACAAGCCUUUGACACGCCUCACGAGUAAAAGCGUACCAUUUGCUUGGAGCAAGGAAGCUGAGGAAGCGUUUGAGAAGGUGAACGAAGCAUUAACCACCGCGACAAUCCUAACCUUACUUGAGCCUGGUAAUCCUUACUCUAUUUACACUAAUGCAUCAAGAGUCGUGUUAGGGUGCGUAUUAAUGCAAGAUGGGAAAGUAAUCGCUUAUGCAUCCCGACAAUUUUGAAAGCAUGGAAGAGAAUUAUCCAACUCACGACCUGGAGAUGGCAGCUGUAGUGUUUGCAUUACUAAUCUAGAGAUCGUAUUUGUAUGGUAAAAAGGUUCUUGUAUUUACUGACCAUCAAAGUCUUAAAUACUUGUUCACUCAGCCUGAUCUAAACUUGCGACAAUGAAGAUGGAUGGAAUUCAUUGCCGAUUAUGAUUUACAAAUUCAAUAUCACCCCGGGAAGGCCAACGUGGUGGUCGACGCCUUAAGCCGCCGCCGAACCAAGUUAGAUGCAGACAAGGAAUUGAAUCUGCUUCUGGAAGAAUUCAAGCAGAUACAUCUUUUUGCCCUCGAUGGAGAAUCACCGGAGCCACUUGGACUUCAAACCGUUUCACAAUCAAACAUGCUGCAGCAAAUCGGAGAAGAACAACAAUAAGAUGAGAAGUUACAAGAGAUAGUUACAAAGCUGAAGACUCUGGACGGACCCAACGAUAGCGGAUAUCACAGGGCAGACGAUGGCACCCUGCUACUCAAUGGAAGAAUUAUGGUCCGGAUCGAGGAAAUUUACGACAAGAGAUCCUCUGAAUGGCGCACUCGUCUACACUGAGUUUUCACCCAGGUAGUACCAAAAUGUAUAACGACGUAUGCCGAUAUUAUCAUUGGCCAAGAAUGAAGAAAUCGGUAGCCAAAUGGGUAAGUCAAUGUGAUUCUUGUCAGCAAAUAAAGAUUGAUCCCCAAGUUUCAAUCGGGUUACUUCAGAGCUUACAUGUUCCGACAUGGAAGUGGGAAACGAUCUCUAUGGACUUCAUCACCGGAUUACCUACAAGGAAGGGGCAGAGGAAUGACUCAGUAUGGGUUAUUGUUGAUCGUCACCAAACUGACACAUUUUAUACCAGUAAGAAGCAUCAACCAAGCUCCCAAUCUCGUGGAAAGGUAUAUAAAAGAAGUGAUCAAGCUCCACGGUAUACCAGCCAAUAUCGUAAUCGAUCGAGAUCCAAAGUUUUCGGCUAUCUUUUAGCAAGACCUACAGAAAGCCCUAGGGACAAACGUUCACAUGAGUACAGCGUUUCAUCCCGAAACCAACGGACAGACAGAGCGGACGAUCCGAACUAUCGAAGAUCUAAUCCGAAUAUGCGCCUAAGAAUGGGGAAGGAGUUGGGAGGAAAAUCUGCCAUUUAUUAAAUUUUCGUACAACAAUAGCUACCAUUCUAGUAUUGAUAUGUCACCGUUCGAGGCCAUGUAUGGAAAACCGUGUAGAACUCCAUUAUGCUGGACGAAGGUAGGAGAAAGAACCAAAUUCGACCAAUGGAUAGUCGAUGAGGCAGUAGAGAAAAUCCAGUUCAUAUGCGAAAGCAUGAAGAAGGCGCAAGACCAACAAAAAAAGUACGCAGAUCGAAAGAUACGAGAAGUGGAGUUCCAAGAAGGAGAUAUGCUCUACCUAAAGGUCACAACUCAAGAGGCAAAAUAUCGAUUUGGAAAGAUAGGGAAGCUUGCGGUUCGUUAUAUUGGCCCUUAUCAAAUUGUGAGUCGAGUUGGAGAGGUUGCUUAUAAGUUGGACAUGAUAGAAAUCAUGCGACUUCAUAAGGUGUUUCAUGUGUCUCAAUUAAAGAAGCAUAUACCAAAUCCCAAUGUUGUUAUUUCAGAACCGAUACCCGAAUUGAAGACCAACCUCACUUAUCCAGAGGGGCCACUCGAAAUCGAAGAACGCCGUAUUCAAAAGUUCAAGCAGCGGUUAAUUCCUCAAAUUAAAGUGUUCUAGGGAAAGCAAAACCGACGGGUAAUAACAUGGGAAGAUGAAGAAAAGUUCCAGGUAAAAUAUCCUCAAUUGUUCGAUACUGAAGAAGGAGACGACAAUGAGGCCAGCCCAUCCAAUUCUUAGGGAAUUUGGGACAAUGUAGCACCCCGCGCAUUGACCUAGGAGGCGAAUGAAGGGCAAGAGGUGGAAAAAAGAAAAUGCGCAUUAGGUGAGAGACGCGGAUUGUCUAUUUAUAAACAAGGAAAACUUGGAGCUGUAUCCAUUCGGGUGAGCCAACUUGGUGACCAAGUUUUGUCCUUAAGCUGAAGUGGAGCCCAAGUUUCGUCUCUUACCCCUUAAACUCGCACCCUUAGCCUGUAAACAGGACCUCACCCCUUUAGCU